GCUGGGAUAGUUUAGCCUGGCUAGAACACGGCGCUCAUAACGCCGGAGUCGUGGGUUCAAAUCCCACUCCCAGCA
rnacentral:tRNA from 1 species